rnacentral:rRNA from 1 species
AAUGAACGCUGGCGGCGCGCCUAAUACAUGCAAGUCGAGCGAGAAGACGUAGCAAUACGUUUGUAAAGCGGCGAACGGGUGAGGAAUACAUGGGUAACCCUACCCUCGAGUGGGGAAUAACUAGCCGAAAGGUUAGCUAAUACCGCGUACGCUCCUUGGACUUCGGUUCAGGGAGGAAAGCGAUACCGUGGGUAUCGCGCUCUUGGAUGGGCUCAUGUCCUAUCAGCUUGUUGGGAGGUAACGGCUCACCAAGGCUUCGACGGGUAGCUGGUCUGAGAGGACAAUCAGCCACACUGGCACUGCGACACGGGCCAGACUCCUACGGGAGCAGCAGUAAGGAAUAUUGCGCAAUGGGCGAAAGCCUGACGCAGCGACGCCGCGGUGGGGGAUGAAGGUCUUCGGAUU